AGAGUUUGAUCAUGGCUCAGAUUGAACGCUGGCGGCGUGCCUAACACAUGCAAGUCGAGCGGCAGCGCGGGAGCAAUCCUGGCGGCGAGCGGCGGACGGGUGAGCAAUGCUUGGGAAUCUGCCUAUCAGUGGGGGACAACCCGGGGAAACUCGGGCUAAUACCGCAUACGUUCUUCGGAAGAAAGCAGGGGAUCGCAAGA
rnacentral:rRNA from 1 species